GAUGAACGCUGGCGGCGUGCUUAACACAUGCAAGUCGAACGAAGAUGCCGGAGUGCUUGCACUUUGGCAGACUGAGUGGCGGACGGGUGAGUAACGCGUGGGUAACCUGCCUUAUACAGGGGGAUAACAGUUGGAAACGACUGCUAAUACCGCAUAAGCGCACGGUAUCGCAUGAUACAGUGUGAAAAACUCCGGUGGUAUAAGAUGGACCCGCGUCUGAUUAGCUUGUUGGUGAGGUAACGGCCCACCAAGGCGACGAUCAGUAGCCGGCCUGAGAGGGUGAACGGCCACAUUGGGACUGAGACACGGCCCAAACUCCUACGGGAGGCAGCAGUGGGGAAUAUUGCACAAUGGGGGGAAACCCUGAUGCAGCGACGCCGCGUGAGUGAUGAAGUAUUCGGUAUGUAAAACUCUAUCAGCAGGGAAGAUAAUGACGGUACCUGACUAAGAGCACGGCUAAANACGUGCCAGCAGCCGCGG
rnacentral:rRNA from 1 species